rnacentral:rRNA from 1 species
UACCUGCAGUCGCACGAGAAAGCGGGAGCAAUCUCGCAAGUACAGUGGCGUACGGGUGAGUAACACGUGGAUCAUCUGCCCUGGAGUGGGGAAUAACGCUGGGAAACCGGCGCUAAUACCGCAUAUUCCCGAGAGGGGAAAGCAGCAAUGCGCUCGAGGAGGAGUCCGCGGCCGAUUAGCUAGUUGGCAGGGUAAAAGCCUACCAAGGCUGUGAUCGGUAGCCGGCCUGAGAGGGCACACGGCCACACUGGCACUGAAACACGGGCCAGACUCCUACGGGAGGCAGCAGUGGGGAAUCUUGCACAAUGGGGGAAACCCUGAUGCAGCGACGCCGCGUGAGCGAUGAAGCCCUUCGGGGUGUAAAGCUCUUUCGGCAGGGAAGAUUAUGACGGUACCUGCAGAAGCAGCUGCGGCUAACUACGUGCCAGCAGCCGCGGUAAUACGUAGGCAGCAAGCGUUGUUCGGAGUUACUGGGCGUAAAGGGUGUGUAGGCGGCCUGUUAAGUUCCGUGUGAAAUCUCCCGGCUCAACCGGGAGGGUGCGCGGAAAACUGGCGGGCUAGAGUGCGGGAUGGGAGAGUAGAAUUCCUGGUGUAGCGGUGAAAUGCGUAGAUAUCAGGAGGAAUACCGGUGGUGUAGACGGCUCUCUGGACCGCAACUGACGCUGAAACACGAAAGCGUGGGUAGCAAACAGGAUUAGAUACCCUGGUAGUCCACGCCCUAAACGAUGCAUAUUUGGUGUAGGUCAUUCAGUUGAUCUGUGCCGGAGCUAACGCGUUAAAUAUGCCGCCUGGGGAGUACAGUCGCAAGGCUGAAACUCAAAGGAAUUGACGGGGGCCCGCACAAGCGGUGG